UACGUAGGGGGCAAGCGUUGUUCGGAAUUACUGGGCGUAAAGGGCGCGUAGGCGGCACGGCAAGUCAGGCGUGAAAGCCCUGGGCUCAACCCAGAAACUGCUUUUGAAACUGCCGAGCUAGAGUGCGGAAGGGGCAACUGGAAUUCCCAGUGUAGCGGUGAAAUGCGUAGAUAUUGGGAAGAACACCUGAGGCGAAGGCGGGUUGCUGGGCCGACACUGACGCUGAGUGCGCGAAAGCCAGGGGAGCGAACGGG
rnacentral:rRNA from 1 species